rnacentral:rRNA from 1 species
CCUACGUGGUGCAGCAGUAGGGAAUCUUCCACAAUGGUCUCAAGCCUGCUGGAGCAACACCGCGUGAGUGAAGCAGGGUUUCGGCUCGUAAAGCUCUUUUGUUGGAGAAGAACUUGCGUUAGAGUAACUGUUCACGCAGUGACGGUAUCCAACCAGAAAGUCACUUCUAACUACGUUCCAGCAGCCGCGGUACUACGUCGGUGGCAAUCAUUAUCCGGAUUUAUUGUGCGUAACGCGAGCGCAGGCGGUUGCUUAGGUCUGAUGUGAAAGCCUUCUGCUUAACCGAAGAAGUGCAUCGGAAACCGGGCGACUUGAGUGCAGAAGAGGACAGUGGAACUCCAUGUGUAGCGGUGGAAUGCGUAGAUAUAUGGAAGAACACCAGUGGCGAAGGCGGCUGUCUGGUCUGCAACUGACGCUGAGGCUCGAAAGCAUGGGUAGCGAACAGGAUUAGAUACCCUAGUAGUC